rnacentral:lncRNA from 1 species
CUUAUAUAAAGAGGACUCCAUUGAAUUUUGGACUUAUUACUUCUGAAGAAGCCCCAGACCGGGCGAAACGCGUUAAGUAAGAGAUCUGAUACUUCUUUUAUUACAUAUUUUUUAUUUUGUAACAAUAAAGUUAUAGUUUUUACUACUUUAUUUGUUGUUCCUGAUACAUCUUGAAUCCUGACUUAUAUCUUUUGGUGGGGAUCAUACCACCACAUGCUGUCUAUACCAGAGUGUCAGGUAUACCUAACAUUCAUGCUGCCGCCGGAACCCACUUCCGGGUUCACGGCGCUUAGCUCCGCCCUUUUUUCUGACGCGGUCUUUCCACGAUACUUAGGAAGACCGCGCCAGAUUCAAAGGGCUGGAUUAUUCACUCAGGUGCGGCAGUAAGAUCAGCUGCUCUACUCGAUGCUACCGGCUCCUCUCUCAGACCUCGGCUUGUAAACGGAUUUCUACCUUCUCAUCUCUCAGACCUCGGCUUGUAAACGGAUUUCUACCUUCUCAUCUCUCAGACCUCGGCUUAUAAACGGAAUUCUGCCUUCUCCUCUCCCAGACCUCGGCUUGUAAACGGAUUUCUACCUUCUCAUCUCUCAGACCUCGGCUUGGACAAACGGACUUCCUUUCUCUCACUACUAAACUGCAGUUUGUUAAAAGAGACUCCUUCCUCUUCCUCCAUUGGGUGAAUUAACCCUUCCAGUGCCAGAUUGCUUCUAAGUUAAGUAAAUCUUUUGUCAAGGAAAGCAAGUCAUAUAAAUUUAUUAUAGUAUUUAAUUUCUUUAAACUCUCUGUUGACAAUAAGCAUUGCAUUUUUCCUUGCAUGUGUAUUUAAAGAUACAGUCUACCUUGUUCACUUCAAUAAAAUAAAGGAGGUGAAACUUAUUGUUUCUGCAGUUGAGUUCCAAUUAAAGAGACAUUACACAAAAGCAUCACACAGAGCAAGAUAUUUGCUCUGAAAUUUGUAAGUAGGAUACUUUUCCUUUAUUUGCACACUUUUUAAUAGAUAUACUACACUAUUGGAUUUUAUUUCUAUUUUUAUCUUUCCAUAUACCACUGUGGAGGAUUGGAUACCGCAUUAUACCAUCACUUGAUAUCCUGAGACGGGGAUUAUACCGUCUAGGCGCUUUACGGCAGAGCUCUGAGUAGCUCUGCAAAGUGUGAGUGAGUCUUUUAUAAGCUUUUAUAUACUCUUAUUUCACUUGACAUAUUGCACUUGACAUAUUGCACUAUUAUUGUUCUGUACUUUUUUGCCUUGAAGGUUUUAUACAUUCCUAAUUAGAGGACUCUCUGUAUGUAUAUAUUUUAAUUAUUAUUUGCACUGUUUGGGCGCGGUUUACCACUUUUGUCUCUUUUGUCUUUAUAGAUCUCUGGGGGUGCGAAAAGGCCACCCAUGGUCUGUCCCUGACAGUGCCUUAUUUGCAUGCAUUUUCCUGGACGAAUCAAGCAAGACUUGGUGACUCUGAUGUCCACAGUAUAGGCACAUGCCUUCCCUCCUCCUAAAAGCCCUCUCCUAGACAGAGCGGCAUGUAGAGACUAACAAUCUCGGCUCCACACCACCAGCGGACUAAGGACCAGGAUACAUGGAAGGUGAGGGAGGCUUGAGUAGUGAAGAAAAGCUUGGUGACAAAUAUACAGGAGGCCUCAGCAGGUGCUCCCUGAAUGAGGAUCUCUCUCAG